UUCCACAUGGACUGCCUCGGUCAGAACUGAUCAGGCUGCGUGUUUUGGUCUCCACCUUGU
rnacentral:misc_RNA from 1 species